rnacentral:rRNA from 1 species
UGCCAGACUCCUACGGGAGGCAGCAGUGGGGGAUAUUGCACAAUGGGGGGAACCCUGAUGCAGCGACGCCGCGUGGGUGAAGAAGUAUUUCGGUAUGUAAAGCCCUAUCGGCAGGGAAGAAAUUGGACGGUACCUGACUAAGAAGCCCCGGCUAACUACGUGCCAGCAGCCGCGGUAAUACGUAGGGGGCAAGCGUUAUCCGGAUUUACUGGGUGUAAAGGGAGCGUAGACGGCGAUGCAAGCCAGAUGUGAAAGCCCGGGGCUCAACCCCGGGACUGCAUUUGGAACUGUGUGGCUGGAGUGUCGGAGAGGCAGGCGGAAUUCCUAGUGUAGCGGUGAAAUGCGUAGAUAUUAGGAGGAACACCAGUGGCGAAGGCGGCCUGCUGGACGAUGACUGACGUUGAGGCUCGAAAGCGUGGGGAGCAAACAGGAUUAGAUACCCUCGUAGA